GACGAACGCUGGCGGCGCGCCUAACACAUGCAAGUCGAACGAGCGAGAGAGAGCUUGCUUUCUCGAGCGAGUGGCGAACGGGUGAGUAACGCGUGAGGAACCUGCCUCAAAGAGGGGGACGAACAGUUGGAAACGGACUGCUAAUACCGCAUAAGCGCACAGUACCGCAUGGUACGGUGUGAAAACUACCGGUGGUAUGAGAUGGACCCGCGUCUGAUUAGCUAGUUGGUGGGGUAACGGCCUACCAAGGCGACGAUCAGUAGCCGACCUGAGAGGGUGACCGGCCACAUUGGGACUGAGACACGGCCCAG
rnacentral:rRNA from 1 species